GCACCUGGAAUGCCUUCUUCUGGCCUCCAGGGGAACUCAUAUGCACACUCACAUGCCCACAUGCACACUCACAUACAUGCACACACAUGUACACUCACAUACAUGCAUACUCAUAUACAUGCACACUCAUAUACAUGCACACAUAUAUCCACAUUACAAAUACUCUUUUAAAAGGACAACAAGAAUAUAGCAGGAGUGAAAUUCUACCACCCAAAGUAUGAGCUGAUUGUCAGAUAAAGCAACUGUUUUCUAGCCAGGUCUGUUGAGACACUUAGGGUGGGAGACAGAGACAGAGAUCCAGAGAGGGAAUGAGAGAAGAGGUCUUACUGGAAGGGAGAGAAAGAGAAAUAAAUAAAUAAAUAAAUAAAUAAAUAAAUAAUACAUAUUUUAGCUCUAGCUUAUACAUAUAAAUAUAUUAUUAUAUAUUUUUAUAUUAGAAUGCACUUUCCCCAGUAAUUUUUUACUUAUUUAACAGUUUUAUAAUCAAGUAGUGUUUUUAGAACACUAUGAAGUAACUCACUUAUUCCUCAAAAAAACCUCUAAGAGGUAGCCAAUGUUAAAAUCACCCCCAUUUUAUAAAUGAAGAAAUGGAGGCAUGAAGAGACCAAGCACUCUGCUCUAAGUUUCUCAGCUAGCUAGUCCGGCAAGAUGGCACAUGCCUACAAUCCCAGAAUCGGGGAGGUAGAAGCAGGAGGAGCAGAACUUCCAGUUUCGGCUAUAGACCAGGUCCAAGUCCACAUUUAAAAAACAACAAAACCCAAAACAGAACAAAACCAAUCCUUUCUAAGGCUCAAGGCUAUCUUAUCUGUCUGCUUUUCAAACCUAUUGAAUCUUUUUUUUUAAGAUUAUACAUACAUAUACAUACACACACACAUAUAUACAUAUGUGUGUGUGUGUGUGUGUGUGUGUGUGUGUGUGUGUGUGUGUGUGUGUGUGUUCUGUAGCUGUCUCUGGAAGAGCAGUCAGUGCUCUUAACCACUGAGCCAUCUCUCCAGCCCUGCCUUAUUGAAUCUUACACAGUAAAUUCAACUAAUUUCUUCUGCCACUGAAUGUCCUGGAAACAAGAGUUCCAGGUCUCUGAUUAGAAUGACUUGGGAUUGAUGGAGGGAUGGAGUUUAUAUUUGGUGGUCGUUCCCUCCCCCCACCCCGUGUGAUUUAUGUGUGUCUGCAUAUUGUGUGUGCAUGUAUAUGUACAUGUGCAUGCAUUUACAUUCGAGUGCUGAUACAUGUGUGUCCUGCACGCUUUUGGAAGUCAGGGGACAACUGUGAGUGCUGCUCCUGUACUUAGAGCCGAAUCUCUUUGCUCUUCAGUGCAGGCCCCUGGGCUCCAGGGAGUCCUCCAUCUCCACCUCUCAGGAGUACAGAACUACAGAUGCACUACCUGUGGGUUCUGGAGAUCUGAAGCUUGGGGCAUAUGCACUGCCUGCUGGACCAUUUCCCCAGCCCUCCCCUAGUGAUUUUUGGAAGGAAUUUGUACUUUAUCUUAGUGAAAGACCAGAAACAAUAUCAGAAUUUAAAAGUUUAGUUUGUAUUCGUUAGCAUCUUGGCCUCAAGACACAAUCUCCACCACCACCACCC
rnacentral:lncRNA from 1 species